GUCGAACUCACACAUUCUCUCUCGUUGUUUGCCGGUUUUCUGCCAAUGGAUGCCACAACAGAUAACUCUCAGCGCAGACCGUUUUCAAUUAAACUGUGGCCUCCAAGUGAGAACACAAGAAAAAUGCUGGUGGAAAGAAUGACGAAUAAUCUUUCUAGUCCAACCAUUUUCACCCGCAAGUACCGCAGUCUAUCCAAGGAAGAGGCUGCCAAAAAUGCUGAAGAAAUUGAAGAUGCAGCUUUUACCAUUGCUAAUCAACAUUAUGAGAAGGAGCCUGAUGGUGAUGGAAGUUCUGCUGUGCAACUUUAUGCCAGGGAAUGUAGCAAGCUUAUCCUGGAAAUUCUAAAAAAGACUCCCAAAUCAGAGGACAAGGAAAUUUCGAUUUCUGAGGUAGUUCCUACUGUUCAGGAGACCUUUUUUGAUAUCUCAAAAGGUAAAAGGGCUUUUAUUGAAGCGGAAGAGGCUCAAGAACUUUUAAAGCCAUUAAAAGAGCCUGGAAACUCUUACAGCAAAAUUUGUUUCAGCAAUAGAAGCUUUGGUAUAGAUGCAGCACGUAUUGCAGGCCCUAUCUUGGCAACCUUGAAGGAUCAGUUGAAGGAAGUUGA
rnacentral:misc_RNA from 1 species